UUAUAUCCUAAGUGUGCACAGUUUUAUACUAUAACAGGAAACUGUGGCGCAUUGAUAAGAUAAUUUACAUAUUACGACAUUUCUGUUACGGCCAAGAAAUUUUUUCCUGUAGCAAGAAUCUCAAACACGCGCGGAUAAUACGAGUUUCGAGUGUCAGCGUGUUUUACUUCUGACGAAUAUUGUCGCGUUACGAGUACAGUAAAUAGCUUCCUGAUUCGUUGCAGUUCGAGCAACGCGUAUGAAACGUUUGGAUAAUAAUACGUUGAGACAGCAGGUCUUUGGAUACUGCAGUUUUUGCUAUACCAAAGUUUCCUAACCCUCGGUUGUCGUCAUGGGUCAUAGUGAUCCACAGUUUUACUUUGGGCAAAGAUAUCUUCAAAGCGUAGCUUAUGUGUAUUAUUAAAUGUAUUAUCUAUUACUAAUUUGUAGUGUUCUUUUAUAACAUCUGAUGAUCAUGUUGCAAAGAAUCCCAUUAGCUUGUGUCUGGCGAUUCUCUAAAGUUUGUAAUGGGAUAGGCUGACCCAAGUGUGAUAAAAGCAUAUUUUUUGCUGCAAUCAAACAGAUUUUAUUUCUGUGCAAACUUUUCAUAGAAAUUCUCGUGCAUGAACUACAGGAGGAAUUGAGUGACAUGGCUAUUAUAUCUUCGUAAUACCUAAAUCUGUCAGAUUCUUUCUAUUUACAAACAGCUCGUCCUCAACGUGUCAGAUAAUGUAAAUGUCAUUUUUGAAACGUGCACUAGAAAAAUAUUUUUUCCCACGUCUUUAGCAUAAGGAUAGAAAAGGUACAGUAUUUCAUCACAAAAAUGUUUUUUUUUCUAAACUUAAUGUUAGAGAUCUUUUUCUCGAAAAUAAUGUCACUUCGUUAACCUUCUUUUGUUAUUUAAACACAUAUUCUAGAAUGUUCAAACUAUAUUCCCAAAUUUGUUCGAUUCAAUAUCAUUACUAUUCUUCGAACAGCAGCUGCUCGAAGAUUGAUCCGGGUCUGACUGACCUAAUGUGACAAGCGCGUUUCAUGAGCCAAUGUGACACCGAGGGUUCAACUACGACAAUCCUCUACGAAGAAAAUAUACAAUAAGAUUUGUUCAUUUCCGGUUUAGUUUUCGAGAAAAACGAGUUUGGAAAUAAAUUAAAUUUGACCAAUUCCGGACUAGAUGGGACUAAAUAAUUGAUAUUCUACGUCAUUCUAUGCGCGGAAAUAAGUCGAUAACUUAGAACAAAAUAUCCCUCUGUUCCCGAGAAAAAAUUAAAUUAAAAGGUUAUAUAAUUAAAUUAAAAGAUUAUAUUAAAAGCCUCAAACCGAAUAUCAUCUGAUUAAUUAGUUCCUCGAUUUUUGUUAAUAUAAGAAUUCAUGUAAAGUUGAACGAACAAAAGAAAUAACGACGAGUGUACAAUUUUAAAUUAUUUUUAUAUUGGGUUGGCAACUAAGUUGCCUAAGUUGCAACUAACCCAACCUAACCUCAAUACAUUUUGAAACCGGUCACCCGACCGGACCUGUUACUGUAAAUUAAACACGUUCAAACCUUAUUUUCUUGAGAACGAAGCCUCAAAUAGAAGAAUUUUAUUCUACGUUUUAGACUAAUUUUCACAAGUAGAACCAGCUGUCGAUUGUUUAGUGGUCGUCUAACCCGCAAUAAGCCACGUUUUAACUAUUGGGUUGGCAACUAAGUGAUUGCGGAUUUUGUCAAUGCCACCUAAUGGCAACAUCCGCAAUCACUUAGUUGCUAACCCAAUAGCUAACUCGAUAAAUUUUCGAACUCGAAUUUUUCGAGAACUGAGCCGAGAACGAACAAAUUUGUAAAAUCUGUAAAAUCUGAUUCCACGUGUUCCAUUCGUGCGAAUUCUGUAUCAAAGCACCGGCGCAUCACACACUGAUUAAUUUCGUAUUUUGAACAGUGUAUCAGCUACUUACGUUACAGGCGAGGAUUUGCGAAACUCGAAGGGAAGUGUAAUGCAAGAACUGAAAAGGAAAAAGAAGCUCAAGCCAUUUCAACUGAUCCCGGCAAUUUGAGAAUUACUGACAGGAAACGCAGGUGCAAGAUGGCUCCGUCGGCGAGGAAG